GAUGAACGCUGGCGGCGUGCCUAAUACAUGCAAGUCGAGCGAACAGACGAGGAGCUUGCUCCUUCGACGUUAGCGGCGGACGGGUGAGUAACACGUAGGUAACCUACCUAUAAGACUGGGAUAACUUCGGGAAACCGGAGCUAAUACCGGAUAAUAUUUCGAACCGCAUGGUUCGAUAGUGAAAGAUGGCUUUGCUAUCACUUAUAGAUGGACCUGCGCCGUAUUAGCUAGUUGAUAAGGUAACGGCUUACCAAGGCAACGAUACGUAGCCGACCUGAGAGGGUGAUCGGCCACACUGGAACUGAGACACGGUCCAGACUCCUACGGGAGGCAGCAGUAGGGAAUCUUCCGCAAUGGGCGAAAGCCUGACGGAGCAACGCCGCGUGAGUGAUGAAGGUCUUCGGAUCGUAAAACUCUGUUAUUAGGGAAGAACAAACGUGUAAGUAACUGUGCACGUCUUGACGGUACCUAAUCAGAAAGCCACGGCUAACUACGUG
rnacentral:rRNA from 1 species